rnacentral:rRNA from 1 species
AGCGAACGCUGGCGGCAUGCCUAACACAUGCAAGUCGAACGAACUCUUCGGAGUUAGUGGCGGACGGGUGAGUAACACGUGGGAACGUGCCUUUUGGUUCCGAAUAACUCAGGGAAACUUGUGCUAAUACCGAAUGUGCCCUUCGGGGGAAAGAUUUAUCGCCAUUAGAGCGGCCCGCGUCUGAUUAGCUAGUUGGUGAGGUAACGGCUCACCAAGGCGACGAUCAGUAGCUGGUCUGAGAGGAUGACCAGCCACACUGGGACUGAGACACGGCCCAGACUCCUACGAGAGGCAGCAGUGGGGAAUCUUGCGCAAUGGGCGAAAGCCUGACGCAGCCAUGCCGCGUGAAUGAUGAAGGUCUUAGGAUUGUAAAAUUCUUUCACCGGGGACGAUAAUGACGGUACCCGGAGAAGAAGCCCCGGCUAACUUCGUG